rnacentral:rRNA from 2 species
CCUGGCGGCCGUAGCGCGUUGGUCCCACCUGACCCCAUGCCGAACUCAGAAGUGAAACGCCGUAGCGCCGAUGGUAGUGUGGGGUCUCCCCAUGCGAGAGUAGGGAACUGCCAGGC